rnacentral:miRNA from 1 species
UAUAAAUAUAAAUAUAGGUGUGUGUGUGUGUGUGUGUAUAUAGGUAUACACACACACACACAUAUAUAUAUAUAUAAAUU